UAACUUUGCACAGUUGCUUAGCAACCGGCGACGAACUCGGUCCUGUUCUGGAGUGCUGGUCCAGCAGUCGUCCUAUAUAUUUCCUGAGUUUAAAGAAGAUCGAAGAUUUAUUCGACAAGAAAUAAGAAGAGAGGCAGAGAUUAAAAGAGAGACGGGGAGAGUUUCCAGAAAGAAAGAGGAAAUGAUAAGAGAUGACGAGAAACUUUCCGGGAAAUUUGCAUUAACAAUAUCAAUUUGAGAAACUAUACUGACAGAGUGGCUUAAACUAAUUUAACUCUAAUUAAUAUGCGCGAGGUUGCCUCAAUUUCGCGCGAAAGAAAAAUGUAACAGACUUUAUAAGGAAGAGGGUCAAAAUGUCCCGAUUUAAUGACUUUCACGGUCUGAAAGAAGAGUCCCAGCACAAGAACUCGAAGAUGGACCCCAUAAAAAUACAAGCCGAGCGAUUAUGAGAGAGGGGACAGACGCGGAUGAUGGGGACGGAUUCCGAAUUGCCGGACCUCAAAGGUCGUUUCGCCCGAUGAAUUCGCUGAAUGCGUGCCGUAGUGAUCGCCUUUCGAUCGAACAGUAAUUCACUUACAAGUUAAUAAUGGGAAGGGGCGCGGUACACCCAUUUAUCUGCCGAGAACGAGGGAACCGGCUGGGAGAAAUACUGAGAUGCGACUACGCCCAAGGAUUCCAGGCUCUUUUCUCGUCGCGACUCGAGACUCUGAGGAAUCGAUGAUGCGCAAAGUAACAGUGACCUUGUUUAACCAUCAUAUAAUGUGCGCGAAAUACGCGUGCGAUUCACGCGUCGUGUCGGGAGUGCCGUGUAAAGUGUCGCGCGUCGAGAGUGCCGUGUAAAAUUUCGCGUUUCGGGAAUGCCGUGUAAAGUGUCGGGCGAUCGUAAUUAUUUGUAUUUUCGCGAGUGUCAUGAGUGCUUCGAUGGACCAAGAGAGGAGGAGGAGGCUCGGGGAGGCAUCGGGCGACAGUGGAGCAACUGUGAGAUCAAUGUGCUGUGAACUAUUGUACAACCCCGCUACUGCCAGCAUCG